rnacentral:lncRNA from 1 species
UUGUUAUUUGUGAAAGUGUGUUUUUUGUUUUCCCCAAAUAUAAGCCUGUUGAAGAGAGUCAGAUUUGAGAGCAAAGGCAUUUUCCAGACUAAGCUGAGAUUUUCCUGGAUGGCAGGUUCAGUGACUCCAUGAGUUUUGCUUCCUCAGAACAUCCAAAGAACAUGAUAAGAUGUCAGAGAAAAUGACCUGUAGUAUCAGAGACUGGAUCCCCAGCCAGGAGUUCAGCUUCUUCCAAGAUAUAUGAAGCAACAUGUGUGGCUUGAAAAUAGCAGAAUCAAGAACCAUGUGGUUUGGGCCAAAGUCUAUCUCUGGGGUAACAGAGGACAGAUGACCAAUGAUGGGAGGGAUUCCCUGAUGCCUUGGAAGGAUAAAACCCUGGGACCUUGGCCCAAUCCCAGCAUCACAGAGGAAGCAAGGAGAGAGCCAGUAUUGUCUUAAAUUUCCUAUCAACUUGGCAAGAGGGGGUCCCUGAGUUGAAAUUAAGUAAACUUACAGAAAAAUUUUAAUGUGCUGUAUUUCUCACAUACCAAAGUUUGUUGCAUGAGAUUCUUAUCUUGUUUGUGUGCAGUUUGGAAAGUGGACAGUUUGGACAAUCCAGACAUCCUUUUGAGAUGGGAAACCAGCCAACCAAAGUUAAGAGGGAUGAAAAAGAGGACAAAUGCUUCCUGCUACAGAGACAUUAGUGUUAAGGCUUUGCCGUGUAAAGACUACAGUGUCCCCAGUACCCAAGGGGAAUUGGUUCCAGGAUCCCCAUGGAUACCAAAAUCCCAGGAUGCUCAAGUCCCCUAUGUAAAAUGGCCUAGUGCAUAUGUGCAUAUAACCUAUGCACAUCCUCCCAUAUACUUUAAUCAUCUCUAGAUCACAUGUAGUGUAUAAUACAAUGGAACUUUUUCUCUUUGAAAGUGUUUAAUUUCUUUUUGUUCUACCUUCUUAAGAAUAGAAAUUUUUUAAUAGUUAGAUAAAUUAAAAAUUUCCUUUUACCAACACGCUUAUUUCUCAAAGGAAUGAUUAAAUGGCCUUCAUUUUGGUUUAGGACAAGAGAGAGAAUUUUAUUAAAUUUAAAGCUGAGUUUGGUAGUGCAGAGCCUAGUAGACUGAGAAAAUUAAGGGUUCUGAAGCUGUCCUGGAGCUGUUACCACCACUCUGAGGGAAGAGUGACAGAUCACAUACUGUGUGGUGUUCUAAUCAUGAUGUAGCAGAAUUACAAGACAGAUCUGUCUCACUAUUAAACUGUUGGCAUUAAAGUUUUUUUCAUAUGUAAUUGUGAUUAUCCAGAAAGGAGUAUGGAUUACACAGAAUAAAUAGUUCCUAGAAGAGCCCAUUUAUAUGGAUCCUUAACUAAUAAGGCUGAUAGGAUUUUAAAGAAAUGGAUUUAUUCAACAAACACUGAGUACCUGCUCUGUGCCAGGUACUGCUCUGGGUAUUGAGGAUCAGGCGAUGAGAAAAAUGGAGUCUUUGCCUUUAAAAAGCUUAUAUUUUAGAACAGGGAGGAAAGAGAAACAAACAAAUAUACAUUUAGCAUAUCAGGAUAUGAGAUCUGCUAUGAAGAUAAGUGAGGCAAGGGGUGGAGAGUCCUGGAUGGUGCUGUUUAAAGAGGGUGGACAGGGAUGUUUUUUGAUAACUUUUGAUCCUAUACUGGAGGAAGAGGUGAGAAGGAGCCUUUUGAGUAACUGGGGGAAGAUCAAUUCAGAUAGAGGAAACAGCAAGUGUAAAGGCCCUGAGUUGGCUUGGGAACAGUUGAGUCGAGUGAGGUUGGAAUGGGCCAGGAGGGAGAAAGGCAGCCAGGAGCCAGAUUGGGAGGGACUUGUGAACCAUGUUGAGGACCUUGGAUUUAUUCUGAGUGAGAUGGAGCCAUCACAAGAUAUUGAGCAGCAGAGUGACAAAUCUAAUGUAGGCUUUUUAAGGAUUGUUUAUGGGGGCAUUGGGUCGGUCCAUUUGAUUCAGUUCUCAACUCUGGGUCCAUCCUGAUGUUUCCAUGGCUUCAGAAGCACUUAUGAGCCAUGGAUAGGUGAGUAAAGAUUGUCUCAGGCCCUUACCCUCCCCUUCUCUCACUCAGGAUCUCAAGGAUGUGUCCUGGGACUCUAUUCCUGCCACUUUGCUGUCAUCACUGGUUCUGAGACCUCUCUCCAGACUCAAGAUCCUGAAUCCAGAACACAGGUUAUAAGGAGGUGUCCCAAUUUCUGUCUACCAAUAAAUUGACUAUAGAAAAUAUUACAGAUACAAGGAUUUCCCCAUGUGCAAAUGCUUGGAAGUGAGAUUAGGUGGCAGUCAUGGUUCUCCAUUACUUCUUAUGGAGUCAGAGAGCCAGGAUGCAGGGAUCAGGUUUGAAAUGGCAGGCUGAGGAAUUAUGACUCUAUUUUGAGGGUACUGGGAGCCUUGGAAGAUUUGAUGUAGAAGAGGGGAGUGCUCUGAAUCAGGUCUUAAUAGACUUUCUGUGGCCCUAGAGCAGAGAACAGAGAGUAGGGGUGAGGGAGGCUACUGUAGUACUCUAGAUGGGUGUGGUAACAGGGGGACCAGGUUGGUGGCUGGAUCAGGGUAGUUAGUGGCUGUGGAUGGGGGUGGGGAGCAAAACAUAUGGCUUAUGGAUUUUUUUAAAAAAUAAGUUUUAUUGAGAGUUCCCGUUGUGGCGCAGUGGAAACAAAUCCGACUAGUAUCCAUGAGGAUGUGGGUUCGAUCCCUCCAGCCUUGAUCAGUGGGUCAGGGAUCUGGCAUUGCGUGAAAUGUGGUGUAGGUCUCAGAUAUGGCUCAGAUCCCCCGUUGAUGUGACUGUGGUGUAGGCUAGCAGCAGUAGCUCAGAUUUGACCCCUAACCUGGUAACCUCCAUAUGCUGAG